ACAAUUUGACCUCAAAUCAGGUAGGAUUACCCGCUGAACUUAAGCAUAUCAAUAAGCGGAGGAAAAGAAACUAACAAGGAUUCCCCUAGUAACUGCGAGUG
rnacentral:rRNA from 1 species